rnacentral:rRNA from 1 species
CAGUCGAACGGGAGACCUUCGGGUCUCUAGUGGCGAACGGGUGAGUAACACCUUAAGAACCUGCCCGCGCACCGGGAAUACGCUCUGGAAACGCAUAACAAAUCCCGAUGUACAGGAAGGAGGCAUCUUCUUUCUGUGAAACAUCCUUUAGGGGAUGGGGCGCGGAUGGACCUGCGGUGCAUUAGUUGGUUGGCGGGGUAAAGGCCCACCAAGACGAUGAUGCAUAGCCGGCCUGAGAGGGCGGACGGCCACAUUGGGACUGAGACACGGCCCAGACUCCUGCGGGAGGCAGCAGUAGGGAAUUUUCGUCAAUGGGCGCAAGCCUGAACGAGCGAUGCCGCGUGAGUGAAGAAGGCCUUCGGGUCGUAAAGCUCUGUUGCGGGGGAAAAAAGGCAGCAUCAGGAAAUGGGUGCUGACUGAUGGUGCCCCGCCAGAAAGUCACGGCUAACUACGUGCCAGCAGCCGCGGUAAUACGUAGGUGGCGAGCGUUAUCCGGGAUGAUUGGGCGUAAAGGGUGCGCAGGCGGUCCUGCAAGUCUGGAGUGAAACGCAUGAGCUCAACUCAUGCAUGGCUUUGGAAACUGGAGGACUGGAGAGCAGGAGAGGGCGGUGGAACUCCAUGUGUAGCGGUAAAAUGCGUAGAUAUAUGGAAGAACACCAGUGGCGAAGGCGGCCGCCUGGCCUGUUGCUGACGCUGAGGCACGAAAGCGUGGGGAGCAAAUAGGAUUAGAUACCCUAGU